AUAUUCCACAGAACUUUCCGGUUUGGGAAGGCCGCUUUAUUGGGAUCCAACCGACCCUGAGGCCAGAAAGCGGGGGUAUCAAACAGGAUAGAUAACCCCGGUAGUCCCCCCAGUAAACGAUGAAAUACUAAGCUGUUUUGCGAUAUCCAGUAAGCGGUCCAGCGAAAGCGUUAAGUUUCCCACCUGGGGGGUACGUUCGCAAGAAUGAAACUCAAAGGAAUUGACGGGGGCCCGCCCAAGCGGAGGAACAUGUGGUUUAAUUCGAUGAUACGCGAGGAACCUUACCCGGGCUUGAAAUGCAGAGGAAUAUAGCCGAAAAGUUAUAGCCAGCAAUGGUCUCUGUGUAGGUGCUGCAUGGUUGUCGUCAGCUCGUGCCGUGAGGUGUCGGCUUAAGUGCCAUAACGAGCGCAACCCUUGCGAGUAGUUACUAUCAGGUAAUGCUGAGGACUCUACUCGGACUGCCAUCGUAAGAUGCGAGGAAGGUGGGGAUGACGUCAAAUCAGCACGGCCCUUACGUCCGGGGCGACACACGUGUUACAAUGGGUGGUACAACGGGUUGCUACCGAGUGAUCGGAUGCUAAUCUCUUAAAUCCACUCUCAGUUCGGAUCGAAGUCUGCAACUCGACUUCGUGAAGCUGGAUUCGCUAGUAAUCGCGCAUCAGCCACGGCGCGGUGAAUACGUUCCCGGGCCUUGUACACACCGCCCGUCA
rnacentral:rRNA from 1 species